rnacentral:rRNA from 1 species
GAAUAUUGGACAAUGGGCGAAAGCCUGAUCCAGCCAUGCCGCGUGUGUGAAGAAGGUCUUCGGAUUGUAAAGCACUUUAAGUUGGGAGGAAGGGCAGUAAGCGAAUACCGUUCUGUUUUGACGUUACCGACAUAAUACGCACCGGGCAACUCCGUUCCAGCAGCCGCGGUAAUACAGAGGGUGCAAGCGGUAAUCGGAAUUACUGGGCGUAAAGCGCGCGUAGGUGGUUCGUUAAGUUGGGUGUGAAAUCCCCGGGCUCAACCUGGGAACUGCAUCCAAAACUGGCGAGCUAGAGUAGGGCAGAGGGUGGUGGAAUUUCCUGUGUAGCGGUGAAAUGCGUAGAUAUAGGAAGGAACACCAGUGGCGAAGGCGACCACCUGGGCUCAUACUGACACUGAGGUGCGAAAGCGUGGGGAGCAAACAG